GGGCGCGUAGCUCAACGGCAGAGCAAGCGGCUUAUACCCGCUCGGUUCUAGGUUCGAAUCCUGGCGCGCCCACAA
rnacentral:tRNA from 2 species